AUUUAUUUCGGUAAAUUCUUAGUGGCGAACGGGUGAGUAACGCGUAGGCAACCUGCCCUUUGGAUGGGGACAACAUUCCGAAAGGAGUGCUAAUACCGAAUGUGAUCCAUUUCUCGCAUGAGAGAUGGAUGAAAGAUGGCCUCUAUUUAUAAGCUAUCGCCAAAGGAUGGGCCUGCGUCUGAUUAGUUAGUUGGUGGGGUAACGGCUCACCAAGACGAUGAUCAGUAGCCGGUCUGAGAGGAUGAACGGCCACAUUGGGACUGAGACACGGCCCAAACUCCUACGGGAGGCAGCAGUGGGGAAUCUUCCGCAAUGGACGAAAGUCUGACGGAGCAACGCCGCGUGAGUGAUGAAGGUUUUCGGACUGUAAAACUCUGUUGUCAGGGACGAAGGUGCGAUCUGCGAAUAGUUGAUCGUAUUGACGGUACCUGACGAGGAAGCCACGGCUAACUACGUGCCAGCAGCCGCGGUAAUACGUAGGUGGCAAGCGUUGUCCGGAAUUAUUGGGCGUAAAGAGCAUGUAGGUGGGCUUUUAAGUCCGAUGUGAAAAUGCGGGGCUCAACCCCGUAUGGCAUUGGAUACUGGAAGUCUUGAGUGCAG
rnacentral:rRNA from 1 species